ensembl:lncRNA
GGCUACUUUUAAGAGUUUUCAGUCUUUUGUUUACUACUUAUAGUAUUUUUUUUCUGCAUGCUAAUAUUCUGUUACUAAUAUAACACAUAAGAGGUUUUAUAAUAUUUGAUUUGUCCUCAUCUCUGCAUACACCUUCAGCCGUCUGUGUUAUAUUCAGUGUAUUUUUGAUGAGCUUUGGCUCACGUGAAGCUAAGAUUUCAACGUAUUUGGCAUUUUAUUGAACUCAACUUCUUUCAUGGGUGCAACAUUUUAAAAGUGAAGAUUCUUCUCAGAUUUUCUGUAGUAGCUCUGUUGCUGGUACCUUCUUAUAUCCACGGUUGUAUCUCAGGGAUUUUUUACACUUAUUUCGUUCAUUGAUUCUUGUUUCAGUGAACAUUUGUGCAGUAUAGCAAUAGCAUACCUGUGAUAACGUUCCCUUCCUGUGUAUCCCAACAAGUCUUUGGUCAAACCUGUUCAGUGGAGAUCAAUUGGGGCCACGUGCGGCACUGAGCCUUUGGCUUCACGCCUCUUCGUUAGCUACAGCGAGGGCAGAGGCAGCUUAAAGAGGUCAAACAAAAUGUGAAGGUGAUCCAUCACAGUUCAGAUCAGAAGUCCACAUCUUUAGAAAUGUGACACCUGUUCUCACCAAAGAGCACUGAUAAGCAACCAAGCUAUUGUGAAAACUGCAACUUUAACCCUUAAAAUGAUGAGAAGAAAAUCAAACUUUGCAGAAUCGAUACUGGACAUUACAAUUAUGGGAAAUACUAAUAGGCCUACCUGAAGUUCCUCUUUAGGAAAUCAAGGCACCAAAGAAAACUGACACAGAUAAAAAAAAAAUUAAAAAAAGAAAAACAUCAUAAAGACAGCAAAGAUUUGUCCUCAGAGACACAGGGAAUGCUUUUAGUGCUGAAAAAUAAAGAAAAAAGAUAAUUUACUACCCGUGAGAAUUAAAAUGCCCUCUAGUCAAAGACCCGCCUGUUACACUGCACUGUCUGGACCUUUGUUAAGAAACCUGAGCUUCCUGCAUGGCGCCAUCCAUAUGAACUGUUGUGCUAAGCCAGUGUAUUGUCACAUUGGUUGAUUAAUGUUGCCACUCUCAACACUUGAGCCUAAGAGCUUUCCACACUGCCACAACUAUCCUGAUUAUGGUGACCACACUGAGGGUGGUCUCUGAAGUUGGACCAUAGUAAAGUCAGGUAAUGUGUUAACUUGUUAAUUCUUGACACAAAGGGAAUGGCUGAGUUCAUAUGAUGAACAUUUACAUUAUGCGCUGGUGGAAAGUAGAGUUAUUAUUACAACAUGUUUUGGCUUUUUUCCCCACAAUUUUAAACCAUGUUUCCUUAUAAAAUGUGGACUUUAUGUAAAGUUUUGAGACAAGUUGAUCUUGACAGGCCGAUAAGAGUGAGAUGUGUAGUGAUUUUGAUGGCGUACUGGUCUUUCACACUGAAGGCAAAACUGUUGGUAUACAAGAUUUACAAGGCUUUCGUCGCCUAUGAGCAUGUGCUGUGGGUAGUGACUGAGGACAAAGUUCACAGAAUCGAGUGUCGGAAAUGAUGCUCAGGUUUUAGUAAAAGGCUUCACUUUUGUGAAAAUGACAGUUGGCUAAUUUACUGACAUCAAAAUGCACUAAAUUAAAAAGUACAAGGGUGCGACAAAGCCUCUCAGCAACCAGCGCACUUAGCGGCUUCACAGUAGAGGGCUGUUGACCCAACCAGCUCUAAACUGUAAUUUCAUGUUGCUGUGUGAAUGUGAGGCAUGAUUAGGUUCAAAAGGGACACCUGUAACUCUUCUUUAUCCUUUUUCCAGUUGUUAAAAUGUUGCCUGCUUUGUACUGACAGGAAGGCAGAGAGCUUUAGUGUAUGAGUCGACAUAUCGGCGCAGUGCUUGUUAUCAUGCUUGAUCACAUUCUGUUGUCUGUCAGCUGGUUCAC